rnacentral:lncRNA from 1 species
GGUGAACCUUAGACAUCUUAGUCAAUUGGAGCUCUAUAGCCCAAGCAUGAUUCACUUGCACCUUCUUUUUCUUUUCUUUCUCAAAGGACUGACGCCCCACUAAAGAUGCACCCUCAAAGGUGCCAAAUGAUUCCUUCAACAUUUGAAGGAUUUUUUUCAGCCAAAGCAUUUUUGAAUGUAUAACUAAAUUCAUGUUUUAUCGCUGCCCUCAUCAUACACCGCAUUGUGGUUCGGUCAUUCAGCCACUUCUGAUAAGUGCCUCUCACCGC